ACGGGAGGCAGCAGUGGGGGAUAUUGCACAAUGGGGGAAACCCUGAUGCAGCGACGCCGCGUGAGUGAAGAAGUAUUUCGGUAUGUAAAGCUCUAUCAGCAGGGAAGAUAAUGACGGUACCUGACUAAGAAGCCCCGGCUAACUACGUGCCAGCAGCCGCGGUAAUACGUAGGGGGCAAGCGUUAUCCGGAUUUACUGGGUGUAAAGGGAGCGUAGACGGCAAGGCAAGUCCGAUGUGAAAGCUCGCAGCUCAACUGCGGAACUGCAUUGGAAACUGUUUAGCUAGAGUACAGGAGGGGCAAGCGGAAUUCCUGGUGUAGCGGUGAAAUGCGUAGAUAUCAGGAGGAACACCGGUGGCGAAGGCGGCUUGCUGGACUGUAACUGACGUUCAGGCUCGAAAGCGUGGGGAGCAAACAGGAUUAGAUACCCUGGUA
rnacentral:rRNA from 2 species